rnacentral:rRNA from 1 species
AUGUUUCCGUUCAAGUUUAAGAGGAAGCAAUUUCCUAUAAGGCUUAGCUUUGCUAUGACCAUUAACAAGGCUCAAGGGCAGACAAUCCCGAUUGUUGGUGUCUACCUACCCAAUCCCGUGUUCUCUCAUGGUCAACUCUAUGUUGCUUUGUCUCGAGCCACCGUAAAGAGAAACAUAAAGAUACUCAUUCAGAAGGAGAAGCCGAAGGAGAAGUCCAACAAGCAAAAGGACAAUCCAAAGAAGCGAAAAAGACCAACCGUGUCAUUACUAACCUCGAUGAAGAACAUCGUCUACAAGGAAGUCCUUACAGGCUGA